rnacentral:ncRNA from 1 species
ACAAUGUGGAAUGUGCAGAGGGAGACCCCCUCGCCGUCCUAAGAAGGGUGCUCAAUCUGCAAAGCAGGCGCCGAAGGGAAU